rnacentral:rRNA from 1 species
AUUGAACGCUGGCGGCAGGCCUAACACAUGCAAGUCGAACGGCAGCACAGUAAAGACUUCGGUCUUUAUGGGUGGCGAGUGGCGGACGGGUGAGUAACGCGUAGGAAUCUGUCCUGGAGAGUGGGAUAACCCGAGGAAACUCGGGCUAAUACCGCAUGAUAUCGAGAGAUCAAAGGCAGGGGACCCUUUGGGGCCUUGCGCUCUAGGUUUAGCCUACGUCGGAUUAGCUAGUUGGUGGGGUAAAGGCCUACCAAGGCGACGAUCCGUAGCUGGUCUGAGAGGAUGACCAGCCACACUGGGACUGAGACACGGCCCAGACUCCUACGGGAGGCAGCAGUGGGGAAUCUUGGACAAUGGGGGAAACCCUGAUCCAGCGAUGCCGCGUGUGUGAAGAAGGCCUUCGGGUUGUAAAGCACUUUAGGUGGGGAAGAAAGGUAAUGAGUGAAUAACUGAUUGCUUUGACGGUACCCGCAGAAUAAGCACCGGCUAACUCUGUGCCAGCCGCCGCGGUAA